AUACGGAGGGUGCGAGCGUUAAUCGGAAUUACUGGGCGUAAAGCGUACGUAGGCGGUUUGCUAAGUCAGAUGUGAAGGCCCCGGGCUUAACCUGGGAACUGCAUUUGAUACUGGCAGACUAGAGUAUGAUAGAGGGGGGUAGAAUUCCUGGUGUAGCGGUGAAAUGCGUAGAUAUCAGGAGGAAUACCAGUGGCGAAGGCGGCCCCCUGGAUCAAUACUGACGCUGAGGUACGAAAGCGUGGGGAGCGAACAGGAUUAGAAACCCUAGUAGUCC
rnacentral:rRNA from 1 species